UAUUGGAAAACACUACCAACAGGUUGGCACGCGGUUAAAAAACGUAAAAAACACGAUAACAACGCGUAAAUAUUUGAAAUAUUAGAAAUACUAAUACAUGUGAUAAUGUAACGAAUGUAUAAAUAUAAAGCACUUGAGUUUGUAUUGUUGUAUCACUGUUUGUUUUGUGUACAAUAAACGAAAACGCGAUUCUCGCGAGUUUUACGAAGGUAUGUGCGCGGACGACGCGACGUCGCGUACGUAUCUGACCGGUGCUGUGCUGCACUCUAGUAGGCAGCGUGCUUGGAUCACUUUUGGUCAAAAGUCUCGCGCGUGGGGAGCGAUUGAGGUGUGCGCGGCUAUGGAAGACCUGAAACACGGCGAACGUAUUCACGCUACAAAGUGGCGAGAGGAGUCAAACUUCUAGAUCUUUAAGAUAUAGGUUAGGUUAUGUUUGGAAAUGUAAAUAAAUACAAGAAGUGGUGAGAUAUGUUUUAGGACCACCCUUAAUUUAAUUCGGGCUAAAUUUCGAUAUUCUCUUGGGUAAAAUUUGGAUUUUAGAGGAUUUAACAUGAUUUCCAAUGGAUUUAUUACAACAUAUUGGGUUGGUUAGUUAGGAUGGAUGUUCGGCCCAAGUCCACAGCGGUAAAUUAGUGUCAGUGGGUGAACGAACCGCGCCAUCGACAAAACGGCCCGCCGCUGCUCUCGGGGAAGAAGGGAAGAUAUAGAUUAAUAGAGAGUGAAGAGAAAAGAGAAGCGAGCCGUGGCGGAAUGAAUGAGCCGAAUAAAGCGAUUCGUUUAGGCCCAUCGCACCUCACCUCACCUCCCCUCACUCCGCUGUUGACCGGGAAUCUAGAUUUUAGAUGAAGAUGAACACACUACUACAGAACUGCAGUGGUGGUCACGAGGGUUUUGAGAGCGUGCGAUUUACGAAUGGUCAAUGGAAGGAAUAAAUGUAAUAGCAACUAAUGUUGAUGCGGUUUAAAGAAGACACAAAAGUGGAAAUUAAUUGGUCACUUUCAUUUUAUGAUGUAUAAAGCGUGGAAAAUCAACUUUACGUUCACGUAUCUAUUGUGGAACAUAAAAGGGCGUGAGUGAAAUAAAAACCAAGGAAAAGUGAUAGCCAUCAAUGAUUAAUGGUCGCACGGUCAACCCCUUUGUGUUUUUAUUGCACCCUUUUUGAAAUAAUUAUUUAUCAAUUACUUUAAUCCAUCACAUCCAUUAAAUUUUUAAACAUUUUGUUAAAUAUAAAGUGCUGCCCUCUACAAAGUUUAAAGAUUUUUUGGUAGAUAUUUUAGGAAAUUUUUUAAUAACUGCUAAAUAAUUAUAGGAAAAUACUAAUUUCACAAUUUGUAUACAAAGUGAAUCA